rnacentral:rRNA from 1 species
GUCCUAGCCCUAAACGAUGGGCACUAAGUAGGGGAUUCCGAUAUCCUCCCUGCCGAAGCGAAAGUAUUAAGUGCCCCGCCUGGGGAGUACGGUCGCAAGGCUAAAACUCAAAGGAAUUGACGGGGCUUACACAAGCGGUGGAGCAUGUGGUUUAAUUCGAAGCAACGCGAAGAACCUUACCGGGGUUUGACAUGCAGGGAUUAGUCCCAUGAAAGUGGGAUGACGCGGGAAACCGUGGAACCUGCACAGGUGUUGCAUGGCUGUCGU